UACGAGUGCCUCAAGCGUUAUCCGGAAUCAUUGGGCGUAAAGGGUGUGUAGGUGGUCUUGUUAGUCUUUUGUUAAAUUCUUCGGCUUAACCGGGGGCAUGCAAAGGAAACGGCAAGACUCGAGGAUGCGAGGGGUCUGCGGAACUCAUAGUGUAGCGGUGAAAUGCGUUGAUAUUAUGGGGAACACCAAAAGCGAAGGCAGCAGACUGGAGCAUUCCUGACACUGAAACACGAAAGCGUGGGUAGCGAAUGGG
rnacentral:rRNA from 1 species